rnacentral:rRNA from 1 species
AUAUUGGACAAUGGGGGAAACCCUGAUCCAGCGACGCCGCGUGAGUGAAGAAGUAUUUCGGUAUGUAAAGCUCUAUCAGCAGGGAAGAAAAUGACGGUACCUGACUAAGAAGCGGCGGCUAACAACGUGCCAGCAGCCGCGGUAAUACGUAGGAGGCAAGCGUUAUCCGGAUUUACUGGGUGUAAAGGGAGCGCAGACGGCCAGCAGU